rnacentral:pre_miRNA from 8 species
UUGAGCACUUUUCCCUGAGAACUGAAUUCCAUAGAUGGUGUUCAUGAAAAGUUCAUCUAUGGGCUCAGUUCUUCUGGCAAUCUGUUUAAU